ACAGCAGACGAACCGCCAUCAUCAACCAAUCAACGUACAGGGCCGGCGCCGUGUCCCUCUUCCUCACGCCACCGUCGCCGUGCCUUCUUCAUCUACCACCGGCGAACCGACCUUCGUGAACCGACGUCCGCCGCCUAUAAAUAGCCGGCGAGAUCGCCCUCUUCUCCCCACAUCAGAGCUUGAAGCUCUCUUCUCUCUCUCCUGCCUUGACCGGCCACUGCCACCAUCAGUCGAUCUCCUCUUCCGCAUCUCCACAAGCCAAGCCCUUGCGCCAUCGUGUUUGCCUCGACGAGGUGAACCCAUUUUUCCCCUUUCCCCUCUCUUUUAGCCACCACAUCAAGCCACCACCGCCACUCCUUUUGUUGCCACGGUCGAGCUCCUGUCGUCGCCGUUCCGGCCAACUCCUUCACUCUCUCCGCCAGCCACCGCCCUCCCCAGGUGCGUCGUGCUCGGGAACACGCGUGGACGCCGACGUCGCAGCCAGUCAGCCACCGGAGCGCCGUCGCCCCAACCGCCCUCCCUCUCCCUUCUAUCGGCUGAAGGAAGAAGAAGACGAGAAGAAGGAGAGAGAGAGAAAAGGAAAAGAGCAGUAGAGUCUAUUAUCUUUUGGAUGGCAACCUGUGAUGUUUCGAGGAUCAGAUAAUCAGGUUGCCUAUCUCGGAUUUGUUUGCGUUGGAGCAAGGCAAGUUAUUAUUCCUCCCCUUUGAGCAUUAUUAUCCUAUAUUCUAUAUCCCUAUUAUUCCAUGCAUUAGCCAUUCAUGAUUUUAAAUGCAUAACUUGAACACAUAGCAAACCAGAUAUAUAUGCUAGAUUUUGCUUAGCCAUGCCUAGUUAGAUUGCAUAAAAUAUAAUGAACUUAGAUUGGAACAGUACGGUAGAAAUGGUUGAUUUCCGGGUGGCUAGUACUGUUCCAACCGACAUAAGAUUGCCAAGUACAUGUGAAGAACGAGCGAGUACGACCGCAACUUCUAGAAUGGGGACAGACUUAGCAAAGUAUGUUAUCUAGCAAAGGUGGUACCCCUGUACAGUGGUUCUUCUUUAAGUCCUCGCGCAGGAGGCAAAUUUACGCCGAGCAGGGCGAUUAUAAUAUUUACCGAGGCGUAGGUAAAUAUAUUGAUUAUUGCGCGCUGUGUGUGUAUUGUGAAAACCUGGUUGGGAUGACGGGGGUCUCUCAACCAGUUCUCUCUAAAAACCUCGGGAACGCCAGAACUCCUCUCGCUGCUGAUAACGUUACGUUCAGAGCGUAUGAGGACUAUAGUUCAUGGAACAGGUACCACUAAUGUUAGGAACUGAAAAGCUUUGCCAUGACUAAGCUGAUGAAUAUUAGCAUGUCAUGGAUUGCGGGUAAAGUGUACAUCUACUACAGUAUGAGUAUCUCUGAAACUAUUCGAAUAGCCAUGCUCACGGAUAUUGAGCAUCGGGACUCACUAUGGCAUCUUGGUUAGAAAUAUAACUCCAGAUUUUAUUAAAUAUUGUUGCAUUUCAAAACAUUAUAGACUUUCUCCUUCUACUUUCUCAGCUUUCUGCAAUUAGAUCUAGCUCUACUCAAAUACUAUUAUUUCAUACAUUCAUACUUGAAUAUAAUAACUUGCUGAGUACGUUGUACUCACCCUUGCUUUAACCCCCUUCUUUCAGAAUUAAUUUGGAGUUCUUGCCGAAGCCGAGAGUUCAAUCAUAUAAGUUAGUUUCAUUUCAACCUAGUUCUCAAGUCUAGAUUAGUUAGAUGGUUUAAGUCUAUAGCAAAACAUUAGGAUUGAGUCAUUCUAUAGCUUCUGCUGUAUUAGUUAGCCACAAGUUUGUAAAUACCCAUAUAUUUUGUAAUAACAACUCCUCUAGAGCCCUGUUCAAAUGUAUGCAAUGAAGAGCCAGAUUGUUGAACCUGUAUCAA